rnacentral:tRNA from 1 species
CGGGGUGUAGCGCAGUCUGGCUAGCGCACCUGCUUUGGGAGCAGGGGGUCGUAGGUUCGAAUCCUAUCACCCCGA